CCUACGGGAGGCAGCAGUGGGGAAUAUUGGACAAUGGGCGCAAGCCUGAUCCAGCAAUGCCGCGUGAGUGAUGAAGGCCUUAGGGUUGUAAAGCUCUUUUACCCGGGAUGAUAAUGACAGUACCGGGAGAAUAAGCUCCGGCUAACUCCGUGCCAGCAGCCGCGGUAAUACGGAGGGAGCUAGCGUUGUUCGGAAUUACUGGGCGUAAAGCGCGCGUAGGCGGCUACUCAAGUCAGGGGUGAAAGCCCGGGGCUCAACCCCGGAACUGCCUUUGAAACUAGGUAGCUAGAAUCUUGGAGAGGUCAGUGGAAUUCCGAGUGUAGAGGUGAAAUUCGUAGAUAUUCGGAAGAACACCAGUGGCGAAGGCGACUGACUGGACAAGUAUUGACGCUGAGGUGCGAAAGCGUGGGGAGCAAACAGGAUUAGAUACCCCAGUAGUC
rnacentral:rRNA from 1 species